GCGAAAACUUUGCAAUGCGAGCAAUCGUGACAAGGGAACUCCGAGUGCCUGUAAAAUCAGGCUGUCCGCCAGUGUAAAUAACUGGCGAAGAAAGGGCCGGGCAAGACCGGUGCCAGCCGCCGCGGUAAUACCGGCGGCUCGAGUGGUGGCCACUAUUACUGGGCUUAAAGCGUUCGUAGCUGGCCUGUUAAGUCUCUGGGGAAAUCUUCCGGCUCAACCGGAAGGCGUCUCAGGGAUACUGGCAGGCUAGGGACCGGAAGAGGUGAGAGGUACUCCAGGGGUAGGAGUGAAAUCCUGUAAUCCUUGGGGGACCACCUGUGGCGAAGGCGUCUCACCAGGACGGCUCCGACAGUGAGGAACGAAAGCUGGGGGAGCAAACC
rnacentral:rRNA from 1 species